rnacentral:rRNA from 1 species
UACAGAGGUGGCGAGCGUUGUUCGGAUUUACUGGGCGUAAAGGGUGCGUAGGUGGCACCGUGUGUCGGUUGUGAAAUCCCACUGCUCAAUGGUGGAACUGCAAUCGAAACUGCGGAGCUCGAGUGUAUGAGGGGAGAGGGGAAUUCUUGGUGUAGCGGUGAAAUGCGUUGAUAUCAAGAAGAACACCGGUGGCGAAGGCGCCUCUCUGGAAUACUACUGACGCUGAGGCACGAAAGCUAGGGGAG